GUGCUUUCUUCAGCAGCACAUAUACUAAAAUUGAAAUGAUACAGAGAAGAUUAGCAUAGAACCCUGUGUAAAGAUGGCACACACAUUUGUGAUGUGUUCCAUAAAUUU